CAGUAACGGCGAGUGAAGCGGCAUCAGCUCAAAUUUGAAAUCUGGCUCCUUCGGGGUCCGAAUUGUAAUUUGUAGAGAGUGCUUCGGGCGAGACCUCGGUCUAAGUCCAUUGGAACAUGGUGUCAUAGAGGGUGAGAAUCCCGUAUGCGACCGUGGCUCGAGCCCAUGUGAAGCCUCUUCGACGAGUCGAGUUGUUUGGGAAUGCAGCUCAAAAUGGGUGGUAAAUUUCAUCUAAAGCUAAAUACUGGCUGGAGACCGAUAGCGCACAAGUAGAGUGAUCGAAAGAUGAAAAGCACUUUGGAAAGAGAGUCAAACAGUACGUGAAAUUGUUGAAAGGGAAGCGCUUGCAACCAGACCUGCCCGUAGGCGAUCAGCCGCUGUUCUCAGCGGUGUACUCGCUCUGCGACCAGGCCAGCAUCGGUUUCGGCGGUCGGAUAAAGGCCUUGGGAAUGUAGCUUCCCUUCGGGGAGUCUUAUAGCCCUCGGUGUAAUGCGGCCAGCUGGGACCGAGGACCGCGCUUCGGCUAGGAUGCUGGCGUAAUGGUUGUAAGCGACCCGUCUUGAAACACGGACCAAGGAGUCUAACAUCUAUGCGAGUGUUUGGGUGUCAAACCCAUACGCGGAAUGAAAGUGAACGGAGGUGAGAACCCUUAAGGGCGCAUCAUCGACCGAUCCAGAUGUCUUCGGAUGGAUUUGAGUAUGAGCAUAGCUGUUGGGACCCGAAAGAUGGUGAACUAUGCCUGAAUAGGGUGAAGCCAGAGGAAACUCUGGUGGAGGCUCGCAGCGGUUCUGACGUGCAAAUCGAUCGUCAAAUUUGGGUAUAGGGGCGAAAGACUAAUC
rnacentral:rRNA from 1 species